CUGCUAAACUUGUUCUUCUCCCCUGCCCCAGUGAAAGUGAAAUUGCAAUUUAGUGAGCCGCAGCUCAGACUUGGUUAUGCAUCCACAGGCACGUCAUUAUUCCCUGCAGACUGGAGUCUCCACACAUCUACACGCUGCUUGUUUCAGAGACUGUGGCCUCAGUUGAACUCCAGAUCCCUUUGCAUUCAGUCCUAUACACUCAGAAGCAAAUCAGCCUUGAGCUGGGAGUUGCCUCAUGUUAAAAUUCAGCCAUCAGUUUACAGAAAAGCAAUAAACCUUGCCUUGGAUACGGUAUCAGAGUGGCAGAGGAGCAGUGUGGAAACCUUGCUUGGGAUACAACUCAUCCGACAGAGUGAAAGAGGUCUCAGCCUCCUGAGGACAUUCAGCAUGCCAUUUCACCUUGCAUGCGUUGGUGGUCUAGCAAGAUAAGAUAGGUGCAUUGCUACCAAAUCCUCCAGGAGAGGAGAGGCUUGUGUGAGCCCAGAGACAUUUUGGGUUUGUUCCAUGCUGAUUUCUGUUUUGUCCAUUGAGCAGACAGAUUUGUCCUAAAAAGCUGGUAUUCCACAAAAAUGUCCCUGAGGAGAUGCAUCUGCCAGUCCCUGUUACAUGUGCUGACAGACACAGUCUUGCCCACCAUCUGAAUAUACAAAGAACCAGAGUCUGGACUGACUGAAGCGGUACAAAACACCACAGGGAGGGCUCUGUACCUCCGACAAUGUGUUCUGGAAAAAGAGACCAGCCCCUAAUUAAAUAUCAUGCUUUAGAAACCACGUAAUUCUUAGUGUUUUGUGCAGAACAUAAUUUAACAUUUUCAGUGCUGUGUUUCUUCCUCCCUUUCUUAACAAUACUGGGAUUACCUGCUCAUGGCCAGUCUGUAGCCACAACCCACUUGGCGAAGACCCCCUUUAUGGAGCUCCAAUGACUUUACUCUCAGCAGCGUUAUCACUGGUCUACUUUGAGGUCUCUUGCUGGUGGCAGAGGAGGGCAAGGACCAUUUAUAUUGAUGACAACUUUGUGCUACUAAAACCAGGGCAUGCCCAAGCCCUCUUACUGAGGUAGAAGCAGACUCUGGCUUGGGAAGCAGAUGUCCUGACUUCAUGUCCCUGAAGACUUAGCCCUUCUGUGCAGCCACAGGGAAUUUAGUUGAGUUUCUCACACAGCUUGAUUAUGUCUCUUCCUAUUUACCAAGAUGAGCAUGAGCUCUUGACUGAGAAAAAAUCAACUCAAGAGAUGAAAUUUUGCUUCCAUCAAAAGCAGGAGGGAUUUUGCCAGCUGUAAUGGAGAGACAGAGCCAUCUGGGUCGAGGGCUUGAUCACACUGCACCUGAGUACCAAAUGACCCAGCUAUGGAGGAAGGAGAAUUUUGAUCACCAGUAGAACUCAGCCCACUGUCAUGCCGCAUGAGCAUGACAGAGAGUUUUUGGCUGAUUAAUUAUGGCAAAGGAUAUCUGGUUUUUUAGAGUUGUAAUAUAUACCACAUUCUUUUAAAAAGUCACUGAAGUCUGACUUUAAGAAGUCAGAUGAAAAUCUGUUGAGGGAAAAGGAGCUGUUCUUUUAGAUCUAAACUGACCAUCUCAAGAAGGUUUCAAGACUGGAAGAGAUGGCAGGUAGAGGAAAGGACCAAGACAGAGAGCUUAGCAAAAACCCAGAAGGCUACAGGCCAAUACUGGGGGAUUGCUGAAGAAAACAAAGAAAUUGCACAGAAUUUUUUGCAAGUCAGACAACCACUGAGUUGACUGAAAACAAAAGGAGAAACAAGGACAAAGCAUCUUGUUCAAAAACAACUUCUUGCUUUACUUUACUUAAUUGCUUUGAAUCAUUCUGAUUAAAAAGGUAAUUAUUCUAGUCUGCUUUUUGAAUUUACAAGGCACUGUGGUCUUCAUGGAGAUAUUAGUAAAUAAUCUAGGCACAUCUUUCUGAAAGCUGUGCCUGAUUUGUAGUCCAAUCACAGUACUGAAAAGAACAAAGGAAAACAAAACAAACAAACAAAAACCAUAACAAUGCUUUCCAAACUGAAUCAGAGUGCUAUAGCCACAAGUAGGAAUCAGCCUCAUUAAUGCUGGCUCUAGGCAACUCAUUAUUUUUCUCUAAGCACUUCUCUCGAAUAGCCGCGAGGUUUAACAAGAAGAACUUAAAAGGGCCCAGAUACAUAUUGACAGACUGUUGUCACCCCUUCCAUGAUUUCGAGUGGAUGGUUGCUCCUGUUAGCUGCUAUCUGGAACAUGAAUGGGUCCCUGUUCUCUGACUCUGAUAUGGUGCUCAGCCCCUCCAUCUACAAACAAGGACUUCAGCUGCAAUCUAGUUUGUUAAUUAUUCCAAAUAUUCCAAGAAAUCGAGGGGAGGCUGCAACCUUCUUCAUAAUUAAAAAUUGCUUAAUGGAAUGAUAUCCUUAAUGGGAGCAUGACACUAAACCAUGAAGUCUUAACCUCACUUUCCACUGAUAAAGGUAUUAUGGAGCUAGAGACCAAUUUUUUCUGUCUGACUUCCCAACCUCCCCCUUCCCUUCUGCUUAUGGGAAGAUGAUGAAUCUUUCCAUUUGUGAAUUACCCAACAUAAAUUAUUCAUGGAGCACUUUUAUCAACCCUAUUAGCAGCACACGAAUCUAGGUAAAUGUCAAGUCAUCUUCGUUAAUCCUUCAUUCAGGCCGCUGGAAGUGAUACUGCACUGACUGGUAAUGCAUUUGACCUCCUGGAGUAUUCAUUCUGCCAGAGAGUCGCAUUUUGAUGCAAAAGUCUAUGUGUUUCCUUGUGGAAGAGCUUGGACUCUAUCUUUUCUGAAUAAUUUGGUGGUAGGAGGUGGCCCUGAUGGUUGUAUAUUUGCUUCUAGCUCAUGUAUUUCAAAUGGAGAAAAAUAAAGGACCUAUUAGCUGAUCUCA
rnacentral:lncRNA from 1 species